GGUAAACUCGCACCUGUUCUACCCAGAAGAGUGGCUCAAGUUCACAUUCAGAAUUUAUUUGUUGAAAGAGUAUCUCCACUUUAUCACAAUAGAGCACUUCCAAUUCUUUCAGAAGUGGCCAGCUUGAACUAAACCUUCUAGAGCAAAAUCUUUUGAGUUGGUGUAAACCGGAGAGUGUGAGAGAGGUAAGGUUAGGGAAUAAGAGUAAAGGUGCUGCCUCAUCUUCAUUUUCAUUGGCAACAAUUGCCUCCACUCCACUCUGAAAUAUAUUUAGGUUCUCAAGUUGCACAAGAGCACUCGCCACAGAAACCGGAAAAAGGUUUAGCAAUUUGUUGCAUCCCCUUACUUGCAAUUCCCUUAAUUUGGAAAAUGAAUUUGCUGGAAGUUGGUCAGGCCACAAUGCUCUUAUAUUAUCUAGUCCGCAUACAGAAAAGGACUCCAAGCCUGGGAGUGCAACCUGUGCAAUUGAUGAUCCCUUUAGUUAAUAAUAUAUACAUAUACAUUCCUAAUAAUUAGCACAUGUAAAUAGAAAAUAAGAGGUUAAAGGAGAAUAUAUCAGUAUAACAAAGCACAAAAUUUAAACUAGAUUCAAGAAGAUCAAGAAAGAGAAAAGAAAAGAAAAAGCCUCCAGAUUUUAAAGAUACAAUGAAACUUAAAAAAAAAAAAAAAAAACCUCCAAAUUUUCCUUUCGAAAUGAGGUAAUAAGAGGAUUUUUUUUUUUUUCUUUUUUCUUUGCCUCUCUUUCAAAUUUGAUUAACUUCUAUGGAAAACGUAUUUUAACUAGUUAUGGAAAACGGAUUUUUUUUUUAAACUUUUAUAUAAGAUACAAGUAAUACUUUUAAAAAAUUGUGAUAUCUAAAAAAGUUUUUGAAAAAUUAUUUUUAAAGAAAUAAGGUAAAUCUAUACUUUUUGUAUAAGAUCUUCUACCUUUAUAUACAAAUUUCUGAUUUUUUUUUUUAAAGUGUAUCCAAAUGGACACUAAACUAUCUAGUUUUUAAUUGUUACAACUUUGAAUUGGAUUUUAUGGUAAACUAAUUUACAAGUUAAUGCAUGGAUUCAUCUUAGAUUCCAUCUAUAAAUUUUUUUAAUUAUCUAAUAUAAGACAUUAUAUUAAUGGGUUGAAUUAAUAAUGUAAUUAUAAUUUAUUUGGCAACUUUCUUCCUUCAAAUAUAUAAAAUGAAAAUAAAUUUUAAAAAAUAAAAAAGAAUGAAAAAAAUAAAAAAUAAAAAAAGCUUUUUUUUAUAGUUUUUCUAAGAUGAUUUUGUAGAGUACUGUUAGUUUAUAGUUUUAACUUUAUUUCAUUUUACUUUUAACUUUAUUUAUUGAGGUAUGUUCUUUUUUGAAACUCUUGUUUAGAUUUUAUAGAGAAUAUAAAUUUUAAGAAAAAAAAAGGAAAUUUAAAUAAAAUAAGAAUAAAGAAAGGCAAAAGGUGGAUGAAUUUUUUUAAGGCAAAAGUUUGAUAAUUUGGCACUAUCAUGUAAUGGGUGAAAUUUUUAAAUACUCAACAAAGGCUAGUGAAAUUUAAAUUAAAAGCUUGACAUGUACCUUUUCGACCAAAAUCUUUGGAGUUGGUGUAAAGUUUUGAGUAUGAGAGAGGUUAGUCUAGGGAAUAUUAUUGCACAUUUGUUCAAAUAAAACAUCAACAUUUUUUUUUGUUAAAUUCUAAAUGAACACCACUAUAAAUUAAUGCGAUUUUGUAUGCUCAAUUAAAUAAACUCAUUCUUAAGGCAUCACAUGAAGUGUUUAAGUCUAAUUAAUAUUAAUUAAAAAUGAUUAUAUUAAAAAAAAUCCAAAGUAAUUUAUUUUUAUCAUAAGUCAAGUAGGAUAGUUUUAUAAAUAAUUGGUUCUAGUUUCUAGUAUUAUUGUACACAAUCGCUAUGUUUGUUGCACCUCCAAAAAUCUACUACUUGUAAUUAAUUGUAUAUUAUUCUCCAUAUUCACAUCAGUUUAUGUAGUAUGAUUAAUUUAGCAACAAAAUAUAAGUUUACUUGAAAUCGCUUUAAAUUCCUAUGAUAUUAAAGUUUAAGAUUAAAACAAUUUAACAUUAGCCAAAAAGAUUAAGAUCUAUAAUGUAACAUAUAAAAUUUAGAAAAUUCAAGGAAGGGUAAACUCGCACCUGUUCUACCCAGAAGAGUGGCUCAAGUUCACAUUCAGAAUUUAUUUGUUGAAAGAGUAUCUCCACUUUAUCACAAUCGAGCACUUCCAAUUCUUUCAGAAGUGGCCAACUUGAACUAAACUUUCUAGAGCAAAAUCUUUUGAGUUGGUGUAAACCGGAGAGUGUGAGAGAGGUAAGGUUAGGGAAUAAAAGUAAAAGUGCUGCUUCAUCUUCAUUUUCAUUGUGAACAAUUGCCUCCACUCCACUAUAAAAUAUAUUUAGGUUCUCAAGUUGCACAAGAGCACUCGCCACAGAAACCGGAAAAAGGUUUAGCAAUUUGUUGCAUCCCCUUACUUGCAAUUUCCUUAAUUUGGAAAAUGAAUUUGCUGGAAGUUGGUCAGGCCACAAUGCUCUUAUAUUAUCUAGUCCGCAUACAGACACGGACUCCAAGCCUGGGAGUGCAACCUGUGCAAUUGAUGAUCCCUUUAGUUAAUAAUAUAUACAUAUACAUUCCUAAUAAUUAGACACAUGUAAAUAGAAAAU
rnacentral:lncRNA from 1 species